AUCAAUCCCAGCACAAGCUGUAUUGGUUUGUACAAGUACAUCAUUGUAGACGUCAUGUGAGGUGUCUUUGGCAAAAAAGUACCACUGCCGGAGAAUGUGUUUCGCAAGACUAGCAACCGUUACUAUUUGAAAAGGUGGAGGUCUGCAUGCAAUGGUGGAUGGUGCUAUGUAAACAUAGUGCUGUUUCAUCAUACAUCGGAGCCUCUCCACACCAUUUGGAAUGUUGCGAUAUGUAACUUUUAAAUUGUUAAAAUAGGCGUGGAUCGCCUCAGCCCCUUGCUCUCCCAUGAGUCCUAUUCCCACCUGCCACUGGUCCAGCCAAUCAACCACAUGCUUCUCUAGCAUGUGCAUCUUUGGUAUGACGGUUGCUUGAGGAAAUUGCUCCCGAUAAAAUGUCAUAAAGGUGGAGAUGUGAGUACCUUUGGAGUAAAUUUACAUGAGUUAGGGUGACACAAAACUUGCAC